rnacentral:rRNA from 1 species
UACGUAGGGUGCGAGCGUUGUCCGGAAUUAUUGGGCGUAAAGAGCUCGUAGGCGGUUCGUCGCGUCGGCUGUGAAAACCCGGAGCUCAACUCCGGGCCUGCAGUCGAUACGGGCGGACUUGAGUGUUGCAGGGGAGACUGGAUUCCUGGUGUAGCGGUGAAAUGCGCAGAUAUCAGGAGGAACACCGGUGGCGAAGGCGGGUCUCUGGGCAACUACUGACGCUGGAGGAGCGAAAGCGUGGGGAGCGAACA